rnacentral:rRNA from 1 species
UACGGAGGGGGCUAGCGUUGUUCGGAAUUACUGGGCGUAAAGCGCACGUAGGCGGCUUUGUAAGUUAGAGGUGAAAGCCCGGGGCUCAACCCCGGAAUUGCCUUUAAGACUGCAUCGCUAGAAUUGUGGAGAGGUAAGUGGAAUUCCGAGUGUAGAGGUGAAAUUCGUAGAUAUUCGGAAGAACACCAGUGGCGAAGGCGACUUACUGGACACAUAUUGACGCUGAGGUGCGAAAGCGUGGGGAGCAAACACGG